ACCGGAGAACCUGUGGACGCCCCUGCUUUGAAAACACCAUCAUUAUUGAACCUGAAGACUUACAGCUAAUAUAAAUCAAAAUAACACCAUGUUUCCUGCUUUGUACCAGCCUCCUCCUCAACAGUUAAUCCUGGAGCUGACACACUGGGAUGUAAACGUACUGUAAUUUAGCAGGGCCUUUAAUGUCCCUCCUGUGCUGAGUCAUUCAGGUAAGAGAGACAGAGACUUUAGUCCUCCAUUAUCUGAUCGGACAGACUGCAGGACGGGAAGUCGCGACAGGAGUGGGUCUGAGCGAUCGAGGAGAACACGAUCACGCGACAGUGGAGAGCUCCGCGAGUGAUUGAGUAACCUGUGAUCUUUACCUUGGUCAUCACAGCAUGGGUGGUGCUCAUCACACCCGCUGCUGUCUCUGGGUGAGGUACCAGCUCCACCAGUUUAACAUAGUAGGGUGGGUUUACCUGAGAAGCACAGGACACACAUCAUCAUCGUUAAGUGGAAACUCAGUCAUUUUUUCAAGUUUGGCACCCUCACCAGCACCUACUGGUACCAGGACUGCCGUGGCACUGACCGGAUGGGAGAUGAGGCAGCGACUCUUGUUGUGGACUUUGGAGAAGACGCUGCUGGGCAUGAGGUAGGAGGUGGAGCUGCUCAGGAUGACGUCGUCUCCCACAAGUCGUUCUACGUCCUGGAAGACGCCCUGCUUUACGUCAAGCUGCUCAAACACACACUCCUGGUCUGUCCUGAAAGGAGUGGCUGUCACAGGCUGCAGUGCAGAGAGAACGUGCUCUUUAAAAACCAGUCAUCAUCGCUGGAACUGCUUUAACUGGCUGAGCAGGCGGCAGGCAGUGAUGUGAAGAAUGCACGUCGCACAGUCACAUCACACUCCACUGACUUCACAGUGAGACCGCACAAAUGGUUCUUACAAUACCAGAGGUCUCAAACUCGUGGCCCACAGGCCACAUGUGGCCCCUCAAUCAAGUUAAUAGGUUCAUUUUGUAACAAUUUAUUUUUAUCGUAAACUAUACAUUGUUCAGUAUCAAAACACUUUUAUUUUGAAAUGAAGUGAAAUACUGUCAU